UCCUAGGUUCUGAGAUCUAUGGAACUUCCCCAGUCAACCCUGAUACCUAGCAACAGUUGCCAUGCUCACCUCACAAACCCCUGCUAGACUGAUCAACUUAUAAACACAUAAACAGCUGUUAACCAAUUUGCACGGUAUUGCUGGCACCAGUUUUUCCAAUCUGUUGUGCGCUCUCCCAUAACUGAGAUUCCAUCAGUAUAUGAACUGAAUUUGCGGAAGAAGUUGAAUGCCACAACUGUGUAAAGGUACACCACUACAGCCAGAAGUCCCACAGUCAACACGAGCUACAUGUAUGCAAAAUAAAGUAUAAUGGAGGAAAGCACA